GGGGAGUUAGCUCAGUCGGUAGACCCGCCAGCUGGCGGGCUUUUAAGCUGAUGGUCGUGGGUUCGAUCCCCGCACGCCCCA
rnacentral:tRNA from 1 species